AGAUGGGGCUCGGGCGCGGGAUGGGCGGGGGCCUAACACACCCGCUCCCCGCUGCGCCCACACCCUGGCACCUCCCCGCAGCCCCGCAUCGGACCCAAGGACAGUCCCAGGAGACGUGGGGGCGCUCACCCCUUUCGUGGACGGGAAACUGAGGCAGGCGGGUGAAGGUCGGCUCACAUGCGGAGCUCAGGCAUCACCCUAUGUUCCAGGUGAGCCACUGAGGCUCAGGGAGGACAGAGGUGAAGGAUCUUGCCCCAGUCACAGGAGGAAUCACAGGCAGAAAGGGGGAGAUGGAAAGAGGCCCCACAUCCCCAUGAGACUUGAACUGCCUUUCUCCUAGGACCAACUAGAUAUCUGCAAAUUGCAUGACAGCUCAGAGUGGGAAGGACACAGACUUUGCAGUGAUUCCUUGUGUGUGACUCCCAGCUUCACCACUCCUGGUUGUGUAACCUCAGACAAAUGCCUUGACCUCCCCUGGCCUCAGCUUCCUUAUCUGUCAAGUGGGGUAUUCCUAGUCUCCCCAGGCCACUGAGGGGCAUGGUGGGAAUGGAUAAGAAUGUGGGUGUGAGCUGUAUGCAUGGGAGGGAUUGAUUAUGUUCCAGUAUGUGCCUGCUAGGAAGGCCUUCCACUCACCUCCCAGACAUCCCACAGGGAAGCAGCUCAUGUUCACUGAGCACUGACGGGAUGACUGGUCCUACAUGAAGUCCCAGGAAAGACCUGUGCAUGAAGUCCCAGGGAAGACACUGACCUGUUCCCUGUGCAGGCAGGGUAGACAGACACUUGAACAAAUAACCACAGUCCAAGACACAAAUGCAGAUCAUUUUCAGAUGCAUUUAAUUCUGAACAGCCCUGUGAGGAGGGCAGGACAAAGAUUAUUAUCCCAUUAGACAGAUGAAGAAGCUGAGGUCCAGAUAAAUCAAGUGAGUUGCUGAAGGUCACACAGCAAUGAGGGGCAGAGCUGGGUCUUGACCCUGGAGCCCUUUUCACUCUGGGGGUACCAGGCCUGCCAGAAAGGUUAUCACCAAAGGGUUCUGGAAGAGUGACCUCCUCAAACUUUCCCUGUCCUCAGACUGACUUGUGGCCUGAGAGUCCGCUAUCAGCACAUCAUACCUUUGGCUAAAAAUGUGCUAAAAAUAUGCCAGCCCCUCCAGUGUCAAUCAAAUGGCCAUCAGUCAUUUACACUUGAGUGUGGAGAAGCCAAUCAGAUUUUAUGGGUUGGAGAUGAGAAGGAAUCUUGAGUGUUUGGACUUUUGGGUGGGAAACUGGAGAUGUGAGAGGAAAGGUUGGCAGCAGAGAGAACUCAGGAGGUGGGUGGGGAGGGAGUCAGGGUUAACUGGAGGAUGGAGUGAGUCCGCAUGACCUGGACACUUCUGUGUACCUCACCCCCAUGAAGUAUAACCAAUAUCUGGCACUCGUGGAGCACUUAGGAUAUACCAGACACUGUGCUCUCUCCCUUUUUUUUUUUUUUUUUUGAGAUGGAGUCUUGCUCUGUCACCCACGCUGGAGUGCAUUGGCAUGAUCUCAGCUCACUGCAACCUCCACCUCUCCGGUUCAAGCAAUUCUCCUGCCUCAGCCUCCCUAGUAGCUGGGACUACAGGUGCAUGCCCAGCUAAUUUUUUUAAAAACAUAUUUUAGUAGAGACCGGGUUUCACCAUGUUGCCCAGGCUGGUCUCCAACUCCUGAGCUCAGGCAAUCAGCCUGCCUUGGCCUCCCAAAAUGCAGCCGCUCUCUCCUUUAAUCUUUUUGUUUGUUUGUUUUUAAGACAGUCUCACUCUGUCGCCCAGGCUGCAGUGCAGUGGCGCAAUAUCAGCUCACUGCAACCUCCACUUCUGAGGUUCAAGCAGUUCUCCCGCCACAGCCUCCAGAGUAGCUGGGACUACAGGUGUACACCACCAUAUUCAGCUAAUUUUUUUGUAUUUUUAGUAGAGAUGGGGGGUCAUCAUGUUGGCCAGGCUGGUCUUGACCUCCUGAGAUACCCCUGCCUCAGCCUCCCAAAGUGCUGGAAUUACAGGUCUGAGCCAUCAUGCCCGGCCUCUCCUUUACUCUUCAUGGCAACUGUUAUCUUUCUUUUUACAGAUGAGAAAAGGGAGGCACAGAGAGGCUAAAUAAUUUGCCCAAGAUCACACAGAAGCAGAGGAGCUGAAGGGUGGACCCAGGCAGGCCAGCUCUGCAGCCCCUGCUCUUGGCCACCAUGGGCUCCUCCUCUGGGCUAACCCAGCCCUUGCCAGAAUCCUACAUGGAAAGUAUUAUCAUCCCAUUGAAUAGAAGAGGAAAUGGAGGCACAGAAGGGCCCCAGGAUGGCAGAAUUAGUAACUGGGGUUGGGGGGAGCUGGGAUUAGACCCAGGUCUGAAAGCCAGGCCUUCCCUCUACCCUUCCUAUUUGCCAAACACCCGGGCCCCAUCCUGCCGAAGGUCAGCAGCCCAGGUGGCAGGAUGUGCUUCUGCCUGGUGCUGGCCUUGGGGAGCACUUGUUUUUCACUGGAGGAAGCAGCAGGUGUGGCCUUCUUUAUGGAAAUGAUCCUAACUGGGUUGGAGCCAGGACUCCCCCCAACACACACCCAGGCCAGGAGGACUUAAAUAGGACUAGGUCAGAGCUUCUAGGCUUGGAUGGAGGGGCUGGAAUUUGGGAGAGGGUCUCGGAGGUCAGUCCCAUUUUGGCAAGCCUCUCGCCCUCUGGACUCCAUAUCUCCUGCUAAUUGCACUCCUUGGAUGAGACAGUGACAUGGAAGUGCCUCCCAGCUCAGCCCUGGGGAGACCUCUCCAAGGACAGUGAAGGAAGCUGGGGGCAUGCCCCUACCCUUCUUUCUGGAGCAGAGCCCUGGGACCUUCUGGAGUCCCAGUCGGGCUGGGGUCUACAAGGGUUAAGACUCCAAGUGACUUCUCUGUCUGCCCCUCAUGCUGAUAAAAGUUUCCAUUCAAGGAAGAACUGCCUUAGGGCUGCCAAGUUAUCCUGAUUCUGUCAUUGUAGCAUCAAGGUGGGGGCCUUGGGCCUUCCCAGCCUCUUCAAGGGGGCAUUCUUGGGUGGGAUGUGGCUCCUAACUGGUGUCACCACCUCAAAGGCCAAUAUCCCAAGACCCAGAAUUCCCACGUUAGACUCAGGGACUAGCAAGAUCACCCUGACUCCUUCUGCCAGGGCCCUUUAAGAGCCACCCAUCCCGCCCAUGAGUGCUCCUGCUUAGUGAGUCAGACCCUUGCAUUAGGCCCCAGGGGAAGAAGAGAAACAGGCCUCAGAAAGCACUUGGAAGGGCAGGGAAGGGCUUGGAAGAAACCUGGCUCAGAAGAUGGUGCCCUCCCCUCACAUAUUCCCAGACUUGAAGGGGCAUCUUACUUCUGAGCUCCCCACAGCCCCAGCCUCCUGGCUGUCUCUCCUGGCUGCUGAAAUAAAGGUCAAGCCCUUUUAUCACCUUUAUUAUGUGACCCUGCCUGCUGGUUAGGCCUCAUCUCUCGCCCCUAGUUCUUUGCUUUCAGGGCCACACCAGCCCUCUUGACUGUUCUUGAAUCCAUCAUGAUUCUUUCUACCCCAGGGACCUUGCACUAGCCAGCAUCUUGCUGCACUUCCUCCUAUCUCAAUUGGCUAAUGUGGGAGAGGCAUUUUCUUUACACACCCAGAGAAAAUAGAGCUUGCUACCUUCCAAGAUUGAGAUGGUUGGAAGAAACUUUUUGUAUUGUAGCUUGAGGGUGGGAAGGAGAAGACACAAUUUGAGCAUAAGAAGGUAAGCUGGAAGCUGGGCACGGUGGCUUAUGCCUGCAAUCCCAGUGUUAGAAAUGCUUGUUCUCCACUGCUGCAAAGAAAUAGCACUCAAACAUAGAUUUAAUUUUCUCAGCAAGGCAAUUUUUAGUUUCUGUGGAAAGGGUGCUCCUCAUAGAUGGAACAAUGGUGACAGCGCAGUUGAACAAGGGAGGGGAAGGGGUUCUUAUUCCUGACCCAGGUAAUCCCUGCUGCUAUGUUGUUCCCCUGUUGGCUAAGGUUGGACCGCACGGUCUAAGCUAAUUCCGAUUGGCUAUUUUAAAGAGAGCAGGGGUAUGAGCCAGAGUGGCGAGGUGAGUAGUUUGGCAGGAAGGACAGUUAGGAACAGGUAACUAAAGGUGACUUACAUCAGAGCAGGUGACCUACAUCAGAGCAGGUGACCAAGGGUGACUCAGGUCAAAGCAGGUGACCGGGAUGAGUCAGGAUGGAGCUAGUGACCAGGGGAACAGGUGUGAACUACUGAAUAAAACUGGUGGGAAAGGUUGUUUACUGAAAUUAGAAGCAAGGGGGUGAAGAGAACCAGGAAGUUAAACUUUAAAAUGGAGAAUUAAAGAAUAAGAGAGCUGAACAUACAGACAUACUGAUUCUUUGAAGAAAAACUUGGGGUUAACUAUAUUUAACAUGAGCACUUUGGGAGGUUGAGGCAGGUGGAUCACUGCAGGUCAGGAAUUCGAGACCAGCCUGGCCAACAUGGUGAAACCCCAUCUCUACUAAAAAUACAAAAAUUAGCUAGGUGUGGUGGCGGGUGCCUGUAAUCCUAAAUACUUGAGAGGCUGAGGCAGGAGAAUUGCUUGAACCUGGAAAGUGGAGGUUGCAGUGAGCUGGGAUUGUGCCACUGCAUGCCAGCCUGGGUCACAGAGAGACUCCGUCUCAAAAAAAAAAAAAAAAAAAAAAAAAGGUGAGCUGGAAAUAAGCUCAGGCUCAUGAGCAGUUUAUCUUCUGGAAUAAAGUCGUUUGCCUUUUUAAAGGCUCUGUCUUCCUCCAUUUCUACCAGAAACCAGACCUCUGAGGGCUCCUUCCCCUCCCACCAUCCUCAGGAUCUGAAGCCCUGGUCCUCCCUCACUUCCUGUCCAGCACUGGAACCCCAUGGGACAGAGAGUGUGUGACAGCUCCUGCAGGAAGCUGGUCAGACGAGGAGAGUGCUGGGUUAAAGGGGAUACAUUUGGAAGGUAUCCAGGGACCUGAUCAGGGAGGACCGUGAGUCCCAAGGAGAGAAGUUUGGAUUUCUUCCUCCAGUCACCAUGGAGCUUGGAGGGUUUGGGGCAGCUGCCUUGGAAGGGCUGAAAAGAGGUGGACGGCACU